AUUGAACGCUGGCGGCAGGCCUAACACAUGCAAGUCGAGCGGAGCGGCGGACGGGAGAGUAAUGCCUAGGAAUCUGCCUGGUAGUGGGGGAUAACGUCCGGAAACGGGCGCUAAUACCGCAUACUAUCAGAUUGGCCUAGGUCGGAUUAGCUAGUUGGUGGGGUAAAGGCCUAACAAGGGGACGAUCCGUAAGUGGUCUGAGAGGAUGAUCAGUCACACUGGAACUGAGACAGGGUCCAGAGUCCUACGGGAGGCAGCAGUGGGGAAUAUGUGACAAAGGGCGAAAGCCUGAUCCAGCGAUGCCGCGUGUGUGAAGGAGGUCUUCGGAUUGUAAAGCCCUUUAAGUUGGGAGGCGUUACCAACAGAAUAAGCACCGGCUAACUUCGUGCCAGCAGCCGCGGUAAUAC
rnacentral:rRNA from 1 species